UACGGAGGGGGCGAGCGUUGUCCGGAUUUACUGGGCGUAAAGCGCGUGCAGGCGGCUCGGUGAAGUGGGGUGUGAAAGCCCGGGGCUCAACCCCGGGACGCCGCUCCAAACUGGCGAGCUUGAGGACGGAAGAGGGGAGUGGAAUUCCUGGUGUAGCGGUGAAAUGCGUAGAGAUCAGGAGGAACACCCGUGGCGAAGGCGGCUCCCUGGUCCGUCCCUGACGCUCAGACGCGAAAGCGCGGGGAGCGAACGGG
rnacentral:rRNA from 1 species